rnacentral:lncRNA from 1 species
GUGUUUUCCUCUUUUUUUGCACAUUCUCUCUUUUUUGGCGCCGCAAGGGUGGACCAAAAGAGGCACAUAAAAGAGGGGGGCGGGCGCCGCGACAGAGACCUUUAUGGGUGUGCGGCCGCGCCGACAGCGGCAUCGCCCAAGAGUGGCUUCCACACGUUGGAAACGAAAUCUGAUCCACUGGCUCUGUGCCGGACCUCGGCCAAGACACGACAGCCGCCAGCGGCGGCGCCGCACGAGAGCACGUAGGCGCCAUGGCAUGGUGGCGAUCCUGUUGGGGUACGGCGGGGCACCUUGCGCACACACAAGGCCAACCUAAAGAGCAUCGAGUGGAUCUCGUCGUGGGCGCCCUUGUCCUUUUCGGUUCCGCCGCACAGGCGUUGGUGUGCCUCGUUGAUUACGCGGCGCACGACGCCGUCGAUGGCCUCGGCCGACGCCGGCACACCCUUGUCAGAUGCGAUAAAGCGGAGGAGGGCCACGCUGACGCGCAUGUCGACGCACGCCGAGGGAUCGAGCAAGGGACAGUUUGUGCUGGCGUCCAAGGCGCAUAGGGGACGCAGCGACGCCAACAGGGGCGACUCGAUAUAGAGCCACUCAAAGAGCGGCGUCUCGAAAGAAAAAGUGCGCGUGGCAGUCGCGGACCGCGCCGCGAGGUCGACCACCGCGCGCGGAUCGAGCACCGUGCCACCGAGACACUGGGCGAUCAGCACCUCAUAUUGACGCGGCCAAUACGUACUUUUCAUCUGGCCGGUGCGCCACAAGAGAAAGAGCGCCUCCUCCGCAGUCAUGGGCCUACGAGACCGAUGCCAUUCGCCGAGUGUGUUUCUGGCCAUUUUGGGGUCGUGGCCCAUCCAGGCGGCGAUCGAGUCCAUGUGAUGGUGGCGCGGUCCCUCCCGAGGUGACCGUGUGCGCGCGCUCUUGAAGCGCAGCGCAUAGUGUUGCUCCAGCAUCCACAAGACCUCGUCGCGACGCCAACGAUCGUCGACACUAUCAGGUCGGCCGUCGGCGUCGAGGGGUGUGUCGACGGCCUGAUCAGGGAUGACGGCCAGUGGGUGACGAUCCAAGUAGGACGCGACGUCGUCGGGCUCGCACAGACAUACGACUGCCGUCGUCAGGGCCUCAAAGGGGAUCAUCGUCGCCAAAGGCACAUCAUGUGCUCUCGGGCGCGAGACGGCAUAGGCAACAAGUCGUUCCCUCCCGCUGGCGACCAAGGCGGCACCGGCCUCGGCAAGGGUGGCGCCCAUGUUUACACACCAGGCCUCUGCGGCCUCGGGGGCGCCCAUGACGGGGUCAUCGUCGUCGGCGGCGGCACGGGCAAGAAGCGCGGCCGCACACGACACGCGGACCGUUUUCGAUUCCGGGCACAAUGACGCACACACCGAGGCCCAUAGACGGCAGGUGGCGCGUGCGCAAAAGCGCCAGCGCGGUUCAAGGGCCUCUCCCAGGAUCAGAGCGAGCGCGUCCAGAGGCAAGUCGUCGGCGGUCACUGCCGCCGGCAUCGUGCGUGCGCCCUUUGGAGCACCACCGCGCGCGCCGACGACGACACACGGCGGGUUGGCGUCUUGCAUUGGCAUGCAAUCCCGGCGGUUCCCUCCUUUGUCGUCUUUCGGUCGGCGCCUGUUGCGUCUCUUUCUUUUCUUGUUUUCCUCGCGCAGCCCUUCUCCGCGAGGUCGUCGGCGGCGCGGGCCGCGGAGGCCAAUCGAGCGCUCUCGCCUGGACGAGCGGAGAGGUAUUUCGAUGCGCGCACCCCCUCUCUUGCGGGAAAAAAAAGUCGUCGCGGUGGCUCGACCACAUUGGGUGGAAAAAAAAAGACGCCAAGAGGCCGACCGAAUCGAGCAGCCCUUUUUCUUUCUUUUAGAAUGGCGAAGAAAGUGUCU